rnacentral:lncRNA from 1 species
GAAGUUGGCCGUUGAAAGAGCAACGCUGAUUAGUGAAUCUUAAAUCACCUAAAUGAAAGCCCACUUGUGAUUCGCCCUAAGUAAACCAGAGCCCCGUGGGCUGGAACGCGCCGGAAUCUGAGGUGUGAGUAGAGCCUGGGGGAGAGUGGAUCCAGGUGAAGGGGGCAGAGGACUGGGAGUUUUCAUCCUCUUGAAUAAGAACUCGACAACAGAGUGGGAACUUUCUGUCUUGUGAUCCAUUGCCUGUGUGUUGCACUGGAGCACAGAGGACACUCGAUCGUGCGGCGCGCAGGGCGGGGGGCCGCCGCUGCCUCCCCGCGGGAUGGCUGGCACUGUGCUCGGAGUCGGUGCGGGCGUGUUCAUCUUAGCCCUGCUCUGGGUGGCAGUGCUGCUGCUGUGUGUGCUGCUGUCCAGAGCCUCCGGGGCGGCGAGUUCUGUUGCUUUUCCCGCGAGCUGGUGAAUUCCCAGCCCCAGAAGUGGAAGUUAAGAUUGUGGAUGACUUUUUCAUUGGCCGCUAUGUCCUGCUGGCUUUCCUUAGUGCCAUCUUCCUUGGAGGCCUCUUCUUGGUUUUAAUCCAUUAUGUUCUGGAGCCGAUCUAUGCCAAACCACUGCACUCCUACUGACCACUCUUCAGGAAAACGAAAACCUGUUCUCUCCUUCAUUGUGAUGACAUUGAUGAGCAGGAAGGCACUAUUCAGAGCCUUGUUUUGACAGCCCUCAUGCCUUAAGGUUAGAGGAGUAUCUGUCCAUCACUAAGACAAAUCUCUGGAGUCCUGGCUUCCAGAAACAGGAUUGCCAAAUUGUCCCUGUGGGGCUAGAUUCUUACCAGCUUAAGAAGGAUAUUGCUAUCUUCUUAGUACCCGUACCUUAGGAUUUCCAACUGUUUUGAAAGGGAAAUAGUAACAGUGAUCUGCUUAGAGUGGAUUUUCACUCAAGUCCUUAGUAAGUGGAUUUUGGGGAAAAAAGCACCUGGGCUUCUGGUUCUUUUUGAUAAUAUAUAAAAUUAUUCAUUAUGAGGUUGCAGUUGUUUGCAAAGGAGAGGCACUCAAAUUUGAAAGGUUAUUUUAAUGUGAUAAUUUGGAAGACUUACUCAGAUGUUGGUCAUUGACCACUCUGUGCAUAUAUUUCUGCAGAGCUCUGUGAAGGCAAUGAGUGUCACUUCCCUCUGCUCUAAUAAAGCAAUAAAUAAUAGCUAAAGGGCUGACUUUCACUUCGAACUCUUGGCCACGGCUUUUUAAUCAAGUUCUUUAGGUUUCCUUGGGAUUAGAGGAAAGGUAUGGAAAUAUUGUUUUUUGUUUUUUGUCUUGCCAUGUAUCUGUAGGUUUUUUUCUUCCAUGAUGUGGUGGGCUGUGUGUGCCUUAUUUAAUUACCAUGAGUCCAUUUUGGGGUGUCUUCACUUUUCAUCUUUGUAGCCCUUUCUCCAAAGCUAGUGAGGAAGGUAUAUUCUCAACAUCAGAUAUAACUCUAUACCUGUCUGAUCUCCCAGACCAAAUGAAAUUUGCAUUAAAUGGAGGGGCCCUGGUCAGGUUCCACUUUGGAAGUCUGAUCCUGACUCCCUAGAGCCAUUUGAAAAAGAAUCUUCUGGCUUAAAAUUAAGAACCAAGAAAACAAGUUGGAAAGAGAUCACUGAUGGAGUAUGUGCUCUAUGCCAAUAGCACACUAAUUCCUUUGAGGUUUAAUUUAUUUAAUUUUUACAACGGUCUCAUUUUUAUCAUCCCCACUUUAAAGUAGAAAAAAUGGAAGCUUAAAGAGAUCAGCUGACUUGCCCAACCUUCACCUAACAGCCAGUGUGCAAACCCAGGUGUGGUAGGCCCCAGGGCUUGUCUCAGAGAGAAAACACACUAGGGUUUGUGGAACUCUGAUUGAGAGCUUCAGGUAGGUUAAGGCCACACUGUUCCUUCACUUUCUCUCCUCAAUUCUGUUUUCAGGGUAGAGAAGUUACCCAGUCCUGCCACCCCACAGGCAACUAAGCUCUAAAUUCCAAGAAGAGAGAACAGGUAACCACUGAGAGUCAUGGGCUGGUGAGGGCCAGGUAUAGUUAUCCCUACAUUGAACCAUUUCCUUUAUCUUACUUAGUUUGGAAAAACUUUGCAGAUAAGGCUUUGUACAGAAAACUUCAAAGGAAAUAGUUUCCUAAUCUGGCCUAGGGCACACAGGUAAGAAAAGAAGAAACAUCCUCUAAGCAGAUUGAGGGAGAGAAAAAAGAAUGCAUAAGUCUUGAGGGAAUUGAGACAAGCUGGGGGCCUCAUGCUAUUGUGAGUCUCCCUGCAGCCCAAGUGGAAGCUUGGCUCCUAACAAGCACAAGCUGCCAAUUGUUACCUUCUUCUGAGAGCCUUGCUAAAAAAGUAACUCUGGGAAAACUCUUAUAGGUUCCUGACCAUGAAUCCAUCUUUUUUAUUCCCCCCAAAAGUUAUUCAACUAUUAGAUCAAUGGAUAAUAACUAUGAGGUUUUGGGUGACUAUUUAGAUGGAGGAAAGUGUAUUAAGGUUGGAAACUAAAUUCUAUCCUUAAUACUACUGUUUUCUAAUUUUUGUUUUUUUGCCUGAUGUAAAUGAAAGGCAUAUAUGUUAAAGAUUGGCUUUAGGAAAAAAAAAAAAAUACCCUGUGCAAAGUUUAUUUCAGCUUGACUUGACCUACAGUCUACAGACCUGGAGUCUAUAAUUACCAGCUGUGGUGAAAUGAAUGAUAGAUUUCUUUCUACCUGCAUACUCAAUGCAGUUAUGCAAAAAAAGCCCCGCAGGGUUGGGAUAAGACGUAGAAGGCUGAGAGGGCUCAAAAUGGAUUUCACUGAGAGUUUGGCAUGGGAUAACCCUAUAGUCAAUGUCUGUUAUGGUACCCUGUAUGCUCAUGGCCUUCUUGGAGACAGGGCUCAGAGGUCAUUCCUUAAAUACAGACAGAAGUCAUCUUAGUGUUCAGAACCAUUCUGUGAUCAGUGGCCUUAGAACAUGUUCCCUCUACUGUUCCCUACCCAGAGGGGAUCCUGUGGCAGACUGGUGAUCCCCACUGUUUAGAAGGUGGAGAGGGAGAGUAAAUCUGGGUUUCUAUAUAAGAAAAUAGGUUAUUUCGUGGCGUCUUAAAAUUGUAUCCUGACAAAAGCUGAAUUAGGAGGAUACCACCCUAUCCCCACAAUGGAGAUCACAAUGGGUAAUUUGUUAAGUUCCUUAAAUUUUUCACUGAUAAAAAUGGAAGUAAAGCUACCAUUCUUUGUGUACAAUGUAAAUUUAAUGUAAAACUGCAUCAGAAUUACCAUACCAAUGUCCAGGGACUAGGGAGUACAUAGCCAUUCAUUCUCGAAUCCUGCCAUUCAUUCAGCAUAUAUUGUGUGCCCGUAGGGUGUAAAGCACUAGUCCUGGUGGAGUAAGCCCAUGGAAGAACUAGGCUGUAAGGUGUCUAGACUGUCUUCCUCACUGCUUCCUGGAAGGAGGGCAUCCAAUUUAUUUUUAAAUGUUUUUAUUCUAACAUAAAGCAAUCCAUUUUUUGUUCUGUUAUUUAACAGAAACUUUAGUAUCAACUCUAUUUCAUGGUUGUUGCAGUUGAAGUGUUUCUGGUUUAUUUUUUGCUCAAUGUGUAAAGAAACCUGCUGUGAUUAUUUUACAGAUGAGAAACAGGCAGAGAGGACAAGGGAUUUAAAAAGUUUCACAGUUAAUUAGAAGUGGGGCUCCAACUUGACAUCAGGAUUCCUGACAUCUCAUUUCUCAAAUAGUUGAAAGAUCACUUUUGACUUUCAAGUAACUCCUUAUUUUUACAUUGGUUAAUACUGUUUCUUAGCUGUUUGUACCUGACAUUUUCUUAACACAUAUCCAAAAAGGUAAAAGUUUCAUUAAAGGAUUCUAAUGAUCAUUUUAGUAUGAAUAACAAA